rnacentral:lncRNA from 1 species
UCUCUGGCCUUUGGACUGUGACUGAAUUGCAGUGGCAGCUUUCCUGAGUCUCCCGCUGGCAGAGAGCAGAUGGCAGGACUUCUUGGCCUCCAAUCAUCAUAUUUAGGACAACUAUGAAGCGCCAUCUUAGUCCCAAACUUCCCGGGGGAUUGAGUAUAUGCACGUGGAGAGUCAUGCGUGAGUACAGAGGUGGGCCGGGAUGGCUGUCAGGGCCCAAAAUGUUCACUUGGAAGAUAACAGAAUGUACGUGGUGUAAAAAGUCUUGAGUCCAGGUAAUAGGACCUAGGGAGAAAGUACAUAGAAAAGGGUGGAGGACUGAGCUUGGGGCACUCCAUCACCAGCUGGAUGGCGGGGAGAGGCGAGGAAAGGCAGCAGUGUGUGGUGCUGCAGAGGGGCUGUGUCAAAGGGGAGGGCUGCUGGGAGCUGGGGAACAGGACGCUAGGAUGUCCACGCAACCUGAUGCCAUGAAGUCAUUGGUGACCUGUCAAGAAGAGUGUUACUGCGAAGCAGAGGGCAAAAGCCAAGGGAGUUCAUGACCAGAGGUGAGGUGGUGUGUGGAGCGCUGCUGGGGAAGGGGGGAGGUCAGUGAUGGUGGGAGGGCUGGCUUUCCAGGAAGGCUGGGCACUGCUUCCUUGUCAGGCAGAGAAGGUGGACACACAUGCAGGCAGGUUUGUACCUGGAAGCAGAAAUGCAAAGGCUUUUGCUGAGACCUUUUACAGAGAGAGGGUGCUGCAGUAAAAGCUUCCAACCCCAGCCCUUCUAAUCUGUGUCCAGAAGGAAGUGCUUGGUCCCCAACAGAUGCCUACUCGAAACUUGCUGAUGGAGAGCUUGUCAAUUUCAUCUAACAAACCGGAAUCACUGGGGCCAUCCAGGAAUCACAGCAGCUCAUGAAGAAAUUCCACGCGAACAGGGCUGUUAAAAGCCAACCCGCCAGAAAGGGUAGAACGGAGGAAGGACAAGAGGGUUCUAACACCUCCUGGAGGCAGAGCACCCACGGAAGUUUCUCAACACUUCUCGUUGAUUCAAGUGGAAGUGAGUAAAUUCCCUGACAU